AGUGAACGCUGGCGGUAGGCCUAACACAUGCAAGUCGAACGGCAGCACAGUAAGAGCCUGCUCUUACGGGUGGCGAGUGGCGGACGGGUGAGGAAUACAUCGGAAUCUACUUUUUCGUGGGGGAUAACGUAGGGAAACUUACGCUAAUACCGCAUACGACCUACGGGUGAAAGCAGGGGAUCUUCGGACCUUGCGCGAUUGAAUGAGCCGAUGUCGGAUUAGCUAGUUGGCGGGGUAAAGGCCCACCAAGGCGACGAUCCGUAGCUGGUCUGAGAGGAUGAUCAGCCACACUGGAACUGAGACACGGUCCAGGCUCCUACGGGAGGCAGCAGUGGGGAAUAUUGGACAAUGGGCGCAAGCCUGAUCCAGCCAUACCGCGUGGGUGAAGAAGGCCUUCGGGUUGUAAAGCCCUUUUGUUGGGAAAGAAAAGCAGCAGGUUAAUACCCCGCUGUUCUGACGGUACCCAAAGAAUAAGCACCGGCUAACUUCGUG
rnacentral:rRNA from 1 species